rnacentral:misc_RNA from 1 species
UUCCAGUAACAUAGUUUCAAGAUUACAAUUUACAUGGAAAGAAAAGCAUAAAUUGGCUGAAGUAUGGUCUCAAGCUCAUCAAAACAAACUAGCAAAUAAGUCUUAAUUUGUCAAGAGGGAGGUAACAAAACAAAUGGAAGAGAUGACCAAUUGAAACAAUUGUGGAAGAGCAAGCAGCAACUCUGAGAUGAGAACAAAGGAAAGCAUCCUAACGAGAAGUGGUGACGAGGUGGGGAAAGCACUGCUAGGGAGAACCAAAAAGGUGGGUGAUUGGGUGGGGCGA